GCAACAAGAUUGAUUGAUUCCCCCCCUUGAUACCUCAGGACCAGAACCACUAACAGACGCUGUAGAGAAGCUCACUGUGCACAUUUUGAUCCACAUCAUGUACAUCAGUGUAGCACAUUCACAAACUAAGGGAUUAGGAUAUUGUUGAGCUGAAUGCCACCGAAAGCAUUUGCACUUACAAAAAAUAUAAUGAUCUAUGUUUAAUAAAGCAACCCAUGACUUGCAUAAACUGGGGCUGAAAAUUUAGGAUUGUGAAAUACUAGAAUAUCCUGAAUUGAAAGGGUCCCACACAAGGGUCAUCCAGUCCAACUCCUGGCCCUUCACAGCACUAUCCCCAAGAGUUACACCAUGUGCCUGAGAGUGUUGUCCAGAAGCUUCUUGAGCUCUGUCAGGUUUGGUGUUGUGACCACUUCCCUGGGGAGCGGCUCCAGUGCCCAGCCACCCUCUGAAUGAUGAACCUUUUUCUAAUAUCCAACCUAAACCUCCUCUGACACAACUUCAGGCCAUUCCCUAGGUUCCUGUCACUGUCAUCACAGAGAAGUGUCUGCCCCUCCUCUUCCCCUCAUGGGGAAGUUGUAACUGCAGUGAGGUCUCCCCUCAGUCUCUACUUCUCCAGGCUGACCAGACCAAGUGACCUCAGCCACUCCUCACAGCUUCCCCUGAAGGCCCUUUCCCAUCUUUGCUGCCCUCCUUUGGACAUUCUCUAAUAGUUUAAUGUCUUCCUUUUAUUGUGGUGCCCAAAACUGCCCCCAGGACAUGAGGUGAGGCCACCCCAGUGCAGAGCAGAGCUGGAGAAUCCCCUCCCUUGCCCAGGUGGUGAUGUUGUGCCUGAAGACCCCAGGACAGGGAUGUCCUUCCUGGCUGCCAGGGCACUGCUGACUAGGAGCCCACUGCCUGAAUUCAAACCUUUCUGUUCUUGAUCUGCUCAGCAGAGUGAAGAGUCACACUCUCUGUGUAAGAGGUGAAAAGCAUCUGUAGCACAUUGCAAGACUAUUCUGUCUGUACAGUUGGCUGUUUCCAAAGGAGAAAAAUCACCACAGCAAGUCUUGGGCUGCCUUUACCUCUACACACUUUGGGACUCUAAGCCUUGACAAAAGGAAGAAGAGCCUGAGGAAAAAGUUGAAGUAUCCCAUCAAGGCACUGGGAGCCACAACAUUCAAAGAAGUCCUGUGGUCCAUAGUGCUGGGAGCAGCUUCUGGUGUGGGUUGGAAAGAACAGUGGGAUGAACAGAGAGCAUGGCUGCUGACCAGGGAAGAGACUCCUGCCCUUUCUGAUUAAUUUUAACAUUCUGUUCCGAAUAUUAGAAAGUACAUUUGCAGCAGAUGUUUCAUGGGGAGAAACCUCUUUAAUCCCUUCCUCCAGGCUAAAUAGCUUUACAAAAUCCUCCCCAUGGCUUUGAAAACACAGUAAAAAUAACAGCUGAGCUACAGAUGAUAACUAAUCUUGCUGUAUGUGUUCGAUCACAAAAUGGAUGGCCAGUAAUAUGUCAC
rnacentral:lncRNA from 1 species